rnacentral:rRNA from 1 species
AAUGAACGUUGGCGGCGUGGAUUAGGCAUGCAAGUCGAGCGAGAACCCAGCAAUGGGGGACAGCGGCGAAAGGGAUAGUAAUGUGUAGAUCAUCUGCCCUCAGGCCCGGGAUAGCUGCGGGAAACUGCAGGUAAUACCGGAUAAUAUCUCCGGAUCAAAGGUGUGAUUCCGCCUGGGGAUGAGUCUACAUCCUAUUAGCUAGUUGGUAGGGUAAUGGCCUACCAAGGCAUUGAUGGGUAGCGGGUGUGAGAGCACGACCCGCGUCAUUGGGACUGAGACACUGCCCAGACACCUACGGGUGGCUGCAGUCGAGAAUCUUCGGCAAUGGGCGCAAGCCUGACCGAGCGACGCCGCGUGCGGGA